GAUGAACGCUGGCGGCGUGCCUAAUACAUGCAAGUCGAGCGAAAAGACCAGGAGCUUGCUCCUCUGACGUUAGCGGCGGACGGGUGAGUCACACGUGGAUAACCUACCUAUACGACUGGGAUAACUUCGGGAAGCCGGAGCUUAUACCGGAUAAUAUAUUGCACCGCAUGGUUCAAUAGUUAAAGACGGUUUUGCUGUCACUUAUAGAUGGAUCCGCGCCGCAUUAGCUAGUUGGUAAGGUAACGGCUUACCAAGGCAGCGAUGCUUAGCCGACCUGAGGGGGUGGUCGGACACCUGGGCAGUGAGGAAGGGUACAGACUCCUGGGGUAGGCCGCAGUAGGGAAUCUUACGCGAGGGGGGAAAGGGUGAUAGAGCACCGCGGGGGAAGGGAUGAUGGUGCAAGGAUGGGAAAACUCUGAUAUUAGGGAAGAACUAAUGUGUAAUUAACUAGGAACGUAUUGACGGUACCGGGAGAAUAAGCCCCGGCUAACUACGUG
rnacentral:rRNA from 1 species